UACGGAGGGUGCGAGCGUUGUCCGGAAUCACUGGGCGUAAAGGGCGCGUAGGCGGCUUCUCAAGCGUGUGGUGAAAGUCCGGGGCUCAACCCCGGAUCGGCCGUGCGGACUGGGGAGCUCGAGUUCUGUAGAGGCGGGUGGAAUUCCGGGUGUAGCGGUGGAAUGCGUAGAGAUCCGGGGGAACACCGAUGGCGAAGGCACCGCUCUGGCCGACGACCGACGCUGAGGCGCGAAAGCUGGGGGAGCGAACGGG
rnacentral:rRNA from 1 species